AACGCGAAGAACCUUACCUGGGCUUGACAUGUUCCCGACGGUCGUAGAGAUACGGCUUCCCUUCGGGGCGGGUUCACAGGUGGUGCAUGGUCGUCGUCAGCUCGUGUCGUGAGAUGUUGGGUUAAGUCCCGCAACGAGCGCAACCCUCGCCCCGUGUUGCCAGCGGAUUAUGCCGGGAACUCACGGGGGACCGCCGGGGUUAACUCGGAGGAAGGUGGGGAUGACGUCAGAUCAUCAUGCCCCUUACGUCCAGGGCUUCACGCAUGCUACAAUGGCCGGUACAGCGGGAUGCGACGCGGCGACGCGGAGCGGAUCCCUGAAAACCGGUCUCAGUUCGGAUCGGAGCCUGCAACCCGGCUCCGUGAAGGCGGAGUCGCUAGUAAUCGC
rnacentral:rRNA from 1 species